CAGUUGGAAACAGCUGCUAAUACCGGAUACGAGACGGAGAGGCAUCUCUACCGUCUGGGAAAGAUUUAUCGGUCUGGGAUGGACUCGCGGCCUAUCAGCUUGUUGGUGAGGUAAAGGCUCACCAAGGCGACGACGGGUAGCCGGCCUGAGAGGGCGACCGGCCACACUGGGACUGAGACACGGCCCAGACUCCUACGGGAGGCAGCAGUGGGGAAUAUUGCACAAUGGGCGAAAGCCUGAUGCAGCGACGCCGCGUGAGGGAUGACGGCCUUCGGGUUGUAAACCUCUUUCAGCAGGGAAGAAGCGAAAGUGACGGUACCUGCAGAAGAAGCACCGGCUAACUACGUG
rnacentral:rRNA from 1 species